rnacentral:ncRNA from 1 species
CUUCCGCCCUCCCCGCACAGGUGGGCGGAGUGAGGGACGCGUGCUCUCUGCCCUGACUGCACCGCGACCCUCCCCAUCGGCCGAGCGGGCCCGCACACUCGCCCGGCCGGAGCACUCCGGGCUGCGGUGCCGGGCGGGUUGAGGGUCCCGCCAGGCGC